rnacentral:tRNA from 1 species
GGCCGCUUGGCGUAGUGGUAACGCGUCUGAUUCCAGACCAGAAGAUCGUCCGUUCGAAUCGGGCAGUGGUCA